CGUACACUCCUACGGGAGGCAGCAGUGGGGAAUAUUGGACAAUGGGCGCAAGCCUGAUCCAGCCAUGCCGCGUGAGUGAUGAAGGCCCUAGGGUUGUAAAGCUCUUUCACCGGUGAAGAUAAUGACGGUAACCGGAGAAGAAGCCCCGGCUAACUUCGUGCCAGCAGCCGCGGUAAUACGAAGGGGGCUAGCGUUGUUCGGAUUUACUGGGCGUAAAGCGCACGUAGGCGGACUAUUAAGUCAGGGGUGAAAUCCCGGGGCUCAACCCCGGAACUGCCUUUGAUACUGGUAGUCUUGAGUUCGAGAGAGGUGAGUGGAAUUCCGAGUGCAGAGGUGAAAUUCGUAGAUAUUCGGAGGAACACCAGUGGCGAAGGCGGCUCACUGGCUCGAUACUGACGCUGAGGUGCGAAAGCGUGGGGAGCAAACAGGAUUAGAAACCCUUGUAGUCCCAUG
rnacentral:rRNA from 1 species